CCUCGGCUCCCCACCUCAGGCUCUGACACCCCCGGGAAACACUGCGGCUCCCUCUCUCACCUCCCCGGGGACCCCCGCAGAGCACGAGGGGAGCAGCCGCGGGCCCUUCCCCUGGAACUCAGCGCCGCGCCUCCGGUCCAGCCGUGGGCCCGCGCCCUCGGGGGCUUGACAUGAAUGGAAAGUGCUCCCUAGGAGUGGCCUGGAUUGCCUGACUCCUCCGGGUGACCGGUGAGGGCCUGGGGCUUCCGUCCCGCAACCCCCAGGACUAGGAGGAAUCCAACAUUUCUUCCUCACGGAAAGAAACUCAGAUGGAGAAACUGAAACUGAAGAAAAAUUCUGUAAAUUCCUCACCAUUACACAAUAAGCAAUUAAUAAAGUUGGAAUUUGC